UACGAAGGGGGCUAGCGUUGUUCGGAAUCACUGGGCGUAAAGGGCGCGUAGGCGGCCGAUCAAGUCGGGGGUGAAAGCCUGUGGCUCAACCACAGAAUUGCCUUCGAUACUGUUUGGCUUGAGACCGGAAGAGGUUAGUGGAACUGCGAGUGUAGAGGUGAAAUUCGUAGAUAUUCGCAAGAACACCCAGUGGCGAAGGCGGCUGAC
rnacentral:rRNA from 1 species